rnacentral:lncRNA from 13 species
GAGAGCUCCAGUUAAUACUGUAUACUUUUCUAUCAUAGGAAUUAACACAAACUAUAAUUAUAAAUCUCAUGAUUGCCUGUAAAGUUCAUAAAAAGAAGAGGACUGAUCUAUUUUUAAAUUUAGUAUGGUGCAGUAAUAAACACAUAUAGACACACAGAAAGAAAACUCUUCUUAGAAUCUUGUAGGGAAGGAAUUUGGUUAAUCAAAGUGUGCAUGCUUAUUAAAGAAAGCAGUGUCCACUACCAUCUAGAUCCAUUGGGCUUUCCAGAAUCUGACGCUAACAUGCAGCAAUAGAAGAUAACUAAACAGGGAGGAAGGGAAAAAUGUGGCAGAACUAAGGUUCUUGGUUGAAGAGAACGAAGACAAAUAAUGAAGAAUUCAAC